UACGUAGGGGGCUAGCGUUGUCCGGAAUCAUUGGGCGUAAAGCGCGUGUAGGCGGUCCGGUAAGUCCGCUGUGAAAGUCGGGGGCUCAACCCUCGGAUGCCGGUGGAUACUGUCGGGCUUGAGUACGGAAGAGGCGAGUGGAAUUCCUGGUGUAGCGGUGAAAUGCGCAGAUAUCAGGAGGAACACCAGUGGCGAAGGCGGCUUCCUGGCCUGUAACUGACGCUGAGACGCGAAAGCGUGGGGAGCAAACAGG
rnacentral:rRNA from 1 species